rnacentral:rRNA from 1 species
AGAGUUUGAUCAUGGCUCAGAUUGAACGCUGGCGGUAUGCUUAACACAUGCAAGUCGAACGGAAACGAUACUAGCUUGCUAGUAGGCGUCGAGUGGCGGACGGGUGAGUAACGCGUAGGAAUCUGCCUGAUAGUGGGGGAUAGCCCGGAGAAAUUCGGAUUAAUACCGCAUAAUCUAUUCGUAGUAAAGUGGGGGACUUUCGAGCCUCACGCUAUCAGAUGAGCCUGCGUAAGAUUAGCUUGUUGGUAGGGUAAAAGCCUACCAAGGCGACGAUCUUUAGCUGGUCUGAGAGGAUGAUCAGCCACAUCGGGACUGAGACACGGCCCGAACUCCUACGGGAGGCAGCAGUGGGGAAUAUUGGACAAUGGGGGCAACCCUGAUCCAGCAAUACCGCGUGUGUGAAGAAGGCCUGAGGGUUGUAAAGCACUUUCAAUUGUGAAGAAAAGUUAACGGUUAAUAACCGUUAGCCUUGACGUUAACUUUAGAAGAAGCACCGGCUAACUCCGUGCCAGCAGCCGCGGUAAUACGGAGGGUGCAAGCGUUAAUCGGAAUUACUGGGCGUAAAGCGUGCGUAGGCGGUUUAUUAAGUCAGAUGUGAAAGCCCCGGGCUUAACCUGGGAACUGCAUUUGAAACUGGUAAACUAGAGUAUGGUAGAGGAAAGUGGAAUUUCUGGUGUAGCGGUGAAAUGCGUAGAUAUCAGAAGGAACAUCAAUGGCGAAGGCAGCUUUCUGGACCAAUACUGACGCUGAGGUACGAAAGCGUGGGUAGCAAACAGGAUUAGAUACCCUGGUAGUCCACGCCGUAAACGAUGAUAACUAGCCGUUGGGGGGAUUUACCCUUUAGUGGCGAAGCUAACGCGUUAAGUUAUCCGCCUGGGGAGUACGGCCGCAAGGUUAAAACUCAAAGGAAUUGACGGGGACCCGCACAAGCGGUGGAGCAUGUGGUUUAAUUCGAUGCAACGCGAAGAACCUUACCUGGUCUUGACAUCCUGCGUACUUUCUAGAAAUAGAUUGGUGCCUUCGGGAACGCAGUGACAGGUGCUGCAUGGCUGUCGUCAGCUCGUGUCGUGAGAUGUUGGGUUAAGUCCCGUAACGAGCGCAACCCCUAUCCUUAUUUGCCAGCACAUUAUGGUGGGAACUAUAAGGAGACUGCCGGUGAUAAACCGGAGGAAGGCGGGGACGACGUCAAGUCAUCAUGGCCCUUACGACCAGGGCUACACACGUGCUACAAUGGGAAGGACAAAGAGCCGCGAAGCCGCGAGGUGUAGCUAAUCUCAUAAACCUUUUCGUAGUCCGGAUUGGAGUCUGCAACUCGACUCCAUGAAGUCGGAAUCGCUAGUAAUCGUAGAUCAGAAUGCUACGGUGAAUACGUUCCCGGGUCUUGUACACACCGCCCGUCAUACCAUGGGAGUGGGUUGCACCAGAAGUGGCUAGUCUAACUUAGUGAGGACGGUCACCACGGUGUGAUUCAUGACUGGGGUAAAGUCGUAACAAGGUA